AUCGAACGCUGGCGGCAGGCCUAACACAUGCAAGUCGAACGAGUGGCGGACGGGUGAGUAAUGUCUGGGAAACUGCCUGAUGGAGGGGGAUAACUUCUGGAAACGGUAGCUACUACCGCAUCACAUCGGAUGUGCCCAGAGGGGAUUAGCUAGUCGGUGGGGUACCGGCUCACCUAGGCGACGAUCCCUAGCUGGUCUGAGAGGACGACCAGCAAAACUGGAACUGAGACACGGUCCAGACUCCGACGGGAGGCAGCAGUGGGGAAUAUUGCACAAUGGGCGCAAGCCUGAUGCAGCCAUGCCGCGUGUAUGAAGAAGGCCUUCGGGUUGUAAAGUACUUUCAGCGGGGAGGCGUUACCCGAAGAAGAAGCACCGGCUAACUCCGUGCCAGCAGCCGCGGUAAUUC
rnacentral:rRNA from 1 species